AAUAGGGAAACUGGAAAUUGCUAUUGGUGGAUUUGGCAGAAAUACAAUACACACGUGACGGUGAAGGACCAUAUUUAUGAAUACACGUUGACUAACACAGAUAACGAGUUAUAUUGUUAUUCUAAUGAGUUUCACAGCCAUCUCCCCUCCGAUAGGCCAUGGUUGGGGGUUUUUUGUAUUUUUUUUUUUAAAUUAAUGCUCAUACAUGAGAAUGAUAUUCUACGUCUUACUCUCGAUUUCAAUUUGCUUUUGAAAUCUGACUUUGAAUGUCUGUUUGUAACUUCGGAAUGUUCG
rnacentral:lncRNA from 1 species